rnacentral:rRNA from 1 species
GACGAACGCUGGCGGCGUGCUUAACACAUGCAAGUCGAACGGUGAAGCGCCUUCCUUUUUGGUGGGUGUGGAUGAGUGGCGAACGGGUGAGUAACACGUGAGUAACCUGCCCCCUUCUUCUGGAUAACCGCAUGAAAGUGUGGCUAAUACGGGAUAUUCUGGGUCUGUCGCAUGAUGGGUCUGGGAAAGAUAUUGUUUCGGUGGGGGAUGGGCUCGCGGCCUAUCAGCUUGUUGGUGGGGUGAUGGCCUACCAAGGCGGUGACGGGUAGCCGGCCUGAGAGGGUGGACGGUCACACUGGGACUGAGACACGGCCCAGACUCCUACGGGAGGCAGCAGUGGGGAAUAUUGCGCAAUGGGCGCAAGCCUGAUGCAGCGACGCCGCGUGAGGGAUGGAGGCCGUCGGGUUGUGAACCUCUUUCGCCAGUGAAGCAGGCCUGCCUCGUUUGUGGGUGGGUUGACGGUAGCUGGAUAAGAAGCGCCGGCUAACUACGU